rnacentral:tRNA from 1 species
UGGGGAGUCGUUCAAUGGUAGGACAACGGUCUUUGGAACCGUGAAUCGGGGUUCGAAUCCCUGCUCCCCAGCCA